rnacentral:rRNA from 1 species
UGGGGAAUAUUGCACAAUGGGGGAAACCCUGAUGCAGCGACGCCGCGUGAGCGAAGAAGGCUUUCGAGUCGUAAAGCUCUGUCCUAUGAGAAGAUAAUGACGGUAUCAUAGGAGGAAGCCCUGGCUAAAUACGUGCCAGCAGCCGCGGUAAUACGUAUGGGGCGAGCGUUGUCCGGAAUUAUUGGGCGUAAAGGGUACGUAGGUGGUUUUUUAAGUCAGGUGUCAAAGCGUGGAGCUUAACUCCAUUAAGCACUUGAAACUGAAAGACUUGAGUGAAGGAGAGGAAAGUGGAAUUCCUAGUGUAGCGGUGAAAUGCGCAGAUAUUAGGAAGAAUACCGGUGGCGAAGGCGACUUUCUGGUCAUCAUCUGACGCUGAGGUACGAAAGCGUGGGUAGCAAACAGG